GACGAACGCUGGCGGCGUGCUUAACACAUGCGAGUCGAACGGAAAGGCCCUGCUUUUGUGGGGUGCUCGAGUGGCGAACGGGUGAGUAACACGUGAGUAACCUGCCCUUGACUUUGGGAUAACUUCAGGAAACUGGGGCUAAUACCGGAUAGGAGCUCCUGCUGCAUGGUGGGGGUUGGAAAGUUUCGGCGGUUGGGGAUGGACUCGCGGCUUAUCGGCUUGUUGGUGGGGUAGUGGCUUACCAAGGCUUUGACGGGUAGCCGGCCUGAGAGGGUGACCGGCCACAUUGGGACUGAGAUACGGCCCAGACUCCUACGGGAGGCAGCAGUGGGGAAUAUUGCACAAUGGGCGGAAGCCUGAUGCAGCAACGCCGCGUGCGGGAUGACGGCCUUCGGGUUGUAAACCGCUUUCGCCUGCGACGAAGCGUGAGUGACGGUAAUGGGUAAAGAAGCACCGGCUAACUACGUG
rnacentral:rRNA from 1 species